GCCAUCUUAGCUCAGCGGUAGAGCAAGGGGAUCGUAGACUCCGAGGUCGCGAAUUCAAUUCUCGCAGGUGGCU
rnacentral:tRNA from 1 species